rnacentral:rRNA from 1 species
UACGUAGGGGGCAAGCGUUGUCCGGAAUCACUGGGCGUAAAGGGUGCGUAGGCGGUUUUGCAAGUCUGAAGUGAAAGUUCGGGGCUUAACCCUGAGAGUGCUUUGGAAACUGUGGGACUUGAGUGCUGGAGAGGCAAGGGGAAUUCCACGUGUAGCGGUGAAAUGCGUAGAUAUGUGGAGGAAUACCAGUGGCGAAGGCGCCUUGCUGGACAGAUACUGACGCUGAGGCACGAAAGCGUGGGGAGCAAACAGG